GGGGAUUUAGCUCAGUGGUAGAGCGCUUGCCUAGCAUGCACAAGGCCCUGGGUUCGGUCCCCAGCUCCG
rfam:Rattus norvegicus chromosome 10, whole genome shotgun sequence.